GGUGGCUCAGCGGUAGAGCACUUGCCUUGCAUGCAUGAAGCCCUGGGUUCGAUUCCUCAGCACCA
rfam:Dipodomys ordii contig_14197, whole genome shotgun sequence.